rnacentral:rRNA from 1 species
GGGACGAUAAGACCCUAUAAAGCUUUACAAUAAAUUAAUUAAAUUAUAAAUUAUAAGUUUAACUUAAUUUAAUUAGUAUUUGUUUCGUUGGGGCGACGAGAAUAUAAUUAUAUAACUGUUCUUUUAUUGUUAUAACAAAUUUAAUUGGGUGAAAAUUGAUCCUUUUAUAAAGAUUAAAAGAUUAAGUUACUUUAGGGAUAACAGCGUAAUCUUCUUUGAGAGUCCAUAUCGACAAGAAGGCUUGCGACCUCGAUGUUGAAU